rnacentral:rRNA from 1 species
UACGUAGGUGGCAAGCGUUGUCCGGAUUUACUGGGCGUAAAGCGUAUGCAGGCGGAUACUUAAGUAGGAAGUGAAAGGUGGGAGCUCAACUCCCACAUUGCUCCCUAUACUGGGUGUCUUGAGUGGCGGAGAGGAAGAGGAAACGACACGUGUAGCGGUGAAAUGCGUUGAUAUGUGUCGGAACACCAAUGGCGAAAGCACUCUUCUGGACGCAAACUGACGCUGAGAUACGAAAGCCAAGGUAGCAAACAGG